GCGUUGAUUCUUGAGCGCGUUUCACCUGAGUUUCAUGAGAGGAACAGGUAGAGCGAGUUGACGCGCUUCCGGACGCAGGUGAGAGAGCAGCCGUCAUGAACGCGUGGAUGAAAAAGAAAAGCGGCUGCCUCGCGCUCUUCGCUUGGACGCUGAGGUCUUGAUCUUUUGGGAUUAAAAAUAAUAACAAGAACAGUUCCUCCACGGGUAUCACAGCAGUUUCUCAGGUUAAAGUUCCCUUCCAAAAUGUAAAAGGAUGACCACUGUGUAGUCACAAUUAACCAGCAUCAUGAGUUCGGAGAGCGUGUCGGGCCUGUUCAUGCCGGUGUUGUUCCUGCUGACUCUGGCCUUGGUUCUGUUCUCAUGCGUCCUCCGUAAGAGGCAGCAGAUGGAGGGAUCAUACCAGCCCAGCGCUGAAGAGCACAAAC